AAACGACUCUCGGCAACGGAUAUCUCGGCUCUCGCAUCGAUGAAGAACGUAGCGAAAUGCGAUACUUGGUGUGAAUUGCAGAAUCCCGUGAACCAUCGAGUUUUUGAACGCAAGUUGCGCCCUAAGCCGUCAGGCCGAGGGCACGCUUGCCUGG
rnacentral:rRNA from 3 species